rnacentral:rRNA from 1 species
UACGGAGGAUGCAAGCGUUAUCCGGAAUGAUUGGGCGUAAAGUGUCCGCAGGUGGCAAUGUAAGUCUGCUGUCAAAGCGUCUGGCUCAACCAGAUAAAGGCAGUGGAAACUACAUAGCUAGAGUAAGGUAGGGGUAGAGGGAAUUCCUGGUGUAGCGGUGAAAUGCGUAGAGAUCAGGAAGAACACCGGUGGCGAAAGCGCUCUGCUGGACUGCAACUGACACUCAGGGACGAAAGCUAGGGGAGCGAAUGGG